rnacentral:rRNA from 1 species
UACGUAGGGGGCAAGCGUUAUCCGGAUUUACUGGGUGUAAAGGGAGCGUAGACGGCGAUGCAAGUCUGAAGUGAAAGGCGGGGGCCCAACCCCCGGACUGCUUUGGAAACUGUAUAGCUGGAGUGCAGGAGAGGUAAGUGGAAUUCCUAGUGUAGCGGUGAAAUGCGUAGAUAUUAGGAGGAACACCAGUGGCGAAGGCGGCCGCCUGGCCUGUUGCUGACGCUGAGGCACGAAAGCGUGGGGAGCAAAUAGG